ensembl:lncRNA CACNA2D3-AS1 CACNA2D3 antisense RNA 1
AUUCUGGCCAGACCAUGUCACUGACAGCUGCUGCAUGUGGCCUCAGCUCCCGGGAGACAACAUGCCUUCAGAAUUAGCUCGCUGGACCAGCCUGGAGCAUUCAGGCAGCUCCCCAACACCCUGCACACAAUGCCCAGACCCACUGGACCAGACAGACAGAGCCCGCCUCCAACAAGGGCACCCACCAGUGCUGAAUGGGAUCGAGUAGACGAAGCUCCCUGGAAUCUGCUCAGCGGCUCUUCGGUACCAGAGAGGGAAAUGGUCUGCGUUAAAAAUGUUCUCCUUGUCGCCAGCUUUCAGGAAGUCCCUUGAAGUGGAAAAGAAUCAGAAGAACAUGCAUCACUCAGCAGAGUAAAGGUGGGCCUGGAGCACCCCGACAGCCUUCAUCAGACAUGAAAUUCUUCAUAAACCUGACCUGGACGGUGUGAGGAGGAGCCUCUGUUGCCUGGCCCAUGGCAGGAUGCAUUGCUACUCUCUACCCUGGGUCACAGGUGCAGCCACGACUGAGCAGAAGGUGUUCGCACUCCCAGCAGCGUGCAGUGGAGCCUCCAUAUUGAACUUACACCUCGAAAACAGAGCUUCUGAAGAAUAAAACACCCAACUGCUCAUGUACAAUGGGAGACAGGCUAACAACAAUAAAUAAAUGACCUUCAUCUUUAAUUUGGGGAGCUCGUGUAAACUUCAGGACAAUAACAAAAGAGCCUUGGCGAUACUGAUGAAUCCCGGGGGUCAGAGCGUGAACUCCUGGAGACCCGCUGAAAUGCCGAGCAAGAACGUCUCUGGGGACAAGUAGAUUUCGUUGCUAUGUUGCUCAUGAACCACUAAAUGGAUUUUGUGACCUCUCCUCCAACUCCCCACAUUGAAAACUGCUGCUCUUAACUGCCUGUAGGUUUACAUAGACCGAAAAGGAGACAGCCCCAGGUAAAGAGGAAGCUGCGGCUUGAGAAGAGGAGCAACUUGCCCAGAAUCACAUGCUGAAGCAGAAGCUCCUUGGAUAACCACUCAAAGCACCCACUUUCCUGCCAACCUCGUUACAGGUGGAAGCCACGUUUCCUGUUUCAUUGUUAGUCUGCUACUCUGACCAGCCAUGUUACAGUUCAUUAAGGAAGCUUUCCCCAGAGAUUCACUGGCCACCUUAAGUUGUGUGUAUGAUUAUGGAAUGAUAGCUCGUGCUCCUAAUGGUGGCUCAUUGUCCACAUUAGAACGUGAGCCUCACCUUUUCUGGUGCACAGGCAGCCUGCAUUUCUAAGCCCCUAAUGACAUGCAACCACAGACAAGCUGGCAGUUUAAAGAGGAAGGGAGACACAGUGGAUAAACAGGUCUGUCAUUCCCAAGCAAGCAUUCAACCAGCGUAGGAAAACAGACUUGAGCAUGGAGAACCUGCAAAACAUUCUCUCUCUCUUCCUCCUCCCCUAUGUGUCAGUUUGGGUUUGGAGGGGGUGGGGGAGUGCUGUGCUUAGUUUGGGUGUCCAGAGCUCAAGCAUGAGCUGGAGAGACACUCUGGGAAGGGUAUAAAAAAGAAUCAAAUAAAUGGACUAAGGUCUCAGAAAUAUGUCCCAUGAAAAAGGCUUUUUUGCCUUAUAGGGCUUCGGGCAAAAAAGACUCCGGAGAAAUUUUCCAUCAGAGUCAUCAUGGGUAUGAAGCAAUGUAGUUGCCUAGAGGGUAGUAGGGGAAAAAAGGCUUUUACCACAACAGAAGGGAUUGUAGUUAGAUUCAAAGCAGCAUCUAUGGGGCAGUACUCACAACAAUACCAUGCAGACAAACAUCUGUUUAGCAGCUACUAUGUGCAAGGCACUCCCUAUCUUUUCUGCACCCCCCGAGGAGGAUAACCCAUAUACUAUGCGUCACUGAAAUAGAGUCUUCAAGGACUCCUGGACUCAAGGACUUAAGGGCUCUCUCCAUGGAAUAUCCAAGUGUCAAGACCACGGCUCUGUGGGCCAGGCUGCCUGAGUUGGAAUCCACACUCUAUGUCCUUAGGCCAUUACAUCCAUUCUCUGCCUCAGUUUCCUCACCUGUACAAUGGAGAUAAAACACCCAUUUCAUAGGUUCACUGUGAUAAAUAAAUAAGUUCACUCAUG